rnacentral:misc_RNA from 1 species
CAGAGUAAGGGCCUCGCGCCCGACCUCCAACCCUUUGUUAUCCAACCACGUUGCCUCGGGGGCGACCCUGCCCUCACCGGCCGGGUCCCCCGGAGGAUCACUAAACACUGCAUCAUUUGCGUCUGAGUGAUUUUUUAAUUAAAUCA